CCUACGGGUGGCAGCAGUGGGGAAUAUUGCACAAUGGUGGAAACCCUGAUGCAGCGACGCCGCGUGAGUGAGGAAGUAAUACGGUAUGUAAAGCUCUAUCUGCAGGGAAGAAAAUAACGGUACCUGAGUAAGAAGCCCCGUCUAACUACGUACCAGCAGCCGCGGUAAUAAGUAGGGGGCAAGCGUUAUCCGGAUUUACUGGGUGUAAAGGGAGCGUAGACGGCAGUGCAAGUCUGGAGUGAAAGGCGGGGGCUCAACCCCCGGACUGCUCUGGAAACUGUACGGCUGGAGUGCAGGAGAGGUAAGUGGAAUUCGUGGUGUAGCGGUGAAAUGCGUAGAUAUUAGGAGGAACACCAGUGGCGAAGGCGGCUUACCGGACUGUAACUGACGUUGAGGCUCGAAAGCGUGGGGAGCAAACAGGAUUAGAUACCCUGGUAGUC
rnacentral:rRNA from 1 species